UACGUAGGGGGCUAGCGUUGUCCGGAAUCAUUGGGCGUAAAGAGCGUGUAGGCGGCCCGGUAAGUCCGCUGUGAAAGUCGGGGGCUCAACCCUCGAAUGCCGGUGGAUACUGUCGGGCUAGAGUGCGGAAGAGGCGAGUGGAAUUCCUGGUGUAGCGGUGAAAUGCGCAGAUACCAGGAGGAACACCGGUGGCGAAGGCGGGUCUCUGGGCCGAUACUGACGCUGAGGAGCGAAAGCGUGGGGAGCAAACAGG
rnacentral:rRNA from 1 species